rnacentral:lncRNA from 1 species
UUAAAUUCAUAUGGGGCUGUUAAGAUUGAAAAUGGUGCUUCUUGUGGGGGACCUCUAUCGUGACAAUCUUGGUGUUUGGCUUUAUCGUUUCCACAAUUUUAUUGGUGACUGUAGUAGUUUUGCUGUUGAAUUACGGGGAGUGUUUUUGGGCUUGGAGUUAGCUUAGAAGCAUGCUUUCAAGAAAAUCAUUGUCCAUGUUUAUAACAAGUCAGUGGUGGAUGCUUUUCAAGGGUCUUCUUCGAUGAUCAAGCAAGGAUCAAUUUUGAUUAGGCAUAUCUUCC